AUGCGAGUCGCACGUAUAACGUGGCAAACGGCUCAGUAACACGUGGCCAAACUACCCAACAGACCGUGAUAACCUCGGGAAACUGAGGCUAAUAACGGAUAGUACUCUCGAGCUGGAAUGCUGGGAGUGCGAAAGCUCCGGCGCUGUUGGAUGUGGCUGCGGCCGAUUAGGUAGACGGUGGGGUAACGGCCCACCGUGCCGAUAAUCGGUACGGGUUGUGAGAGCAAGAACCCGGAGACGGACUCUGAGACAAGAGUCCGGGCCCUACGGGGCGCAGCAGGCGCGAAACCUUUACACUGUACGCAAGUACGAUAGGGGGACACCGAGUGCGAGGGCAUAGAGCCCUCGCUUUUGUACACCUUAAGGUGGUGCACGAAUAAGGGCUGGGCAAGACAGGUGCCAGCCGCCGCGGUAACACCGGCAGCCCAAGUGAUGGCCGCUAUUAUUGGGCCUAAAGCGUCCGUAGCUGGCCGUUCAGGUCCGUCGGGAAAUCCACUGGCUUAACCAGUGGGCGUCCGGCGGAAACCGUUCGGCUUGGAACAGGGAGACCAGAGGGGUACGUCCGGGGUAGGAGUGAAAUCCCGUAAUCCUGGACGGACCAUCGGUGGCGAAAGCGCCUCUGGAGAACUGAUUCGACAGUGAGGGACGAAAGCUGGGGUCUCGAACCGGAUUAGAUACCCGGGUAGUCCCAGCCGUAAACGAUGCUCGCUAGGUGUGUCGCAGGCUACGAGCCUGCGAUGUGCCGUAUGGAAGCCGAGAAGCGAGCCGCCUGGGAAGUACGUCCGCAAGGAUGAAACUUAAAGGAAUUGGCGGGGGAGCACUACAACCGGAGGAGCCUGCGGUUUAAUUGGAGUCAACGCCGGGA
rnacentral:rRNA from 1 species